CGUGUUUACAUACCUUUGUUGCUUUGGCGGGCCGCCGCUUCGGCGUUGGCUCCGGCUGACUGCGCCCGCCAGAGGACCACAACUCUUUUGUUUACUAAUGUCAGAGUACUAUAUAAUAGUUAAAACUUUCAACAACGGAUCUCUUGGUUCUGGCAUCGAUGAAGAACGCAGCGAAAUGCGAUAAGUAAUGUGAAUUGCAGAAUUCAGUGAAUCAUCGAAUCUUUGAACGCACAUUGCGCCCCUUGGUAUUCCGAGGGGCAUGCCUGUUCGAGCGUCAUUAUAACCACUCAAGCCUCGGCUUGGUCUUGGGGUCCCGCGGUCUCGCGGCCCUUAAAAUCAGUGGCGGUGCCGUCUGGCUUUAAGCGUAGUAAUUCUCUCGUUAUAGGGUCCAGGUGGCGCUGCCAAAACCCCCCAUUU
rnacentral:misc_RNA from 1 species